rnacentral:rRNA from 1 species
CCCUUAGAUGUCCGGGGCCGCACGCGCGCUACACUGAAGGAAUCAGCGUGGCUUUCUCCCUGACCCGAAAGGGUUGGGAAACCCGUUGAAUCUCCUUCGUGAUAGGGAUUGGGGCUUGAAAUUGUUCCCCAUGAGCGAGGAAUUCCCAGUAAGCGCGAGUCAUAAGCUCGCGUUGAUUACGUCCCUGCCCUUUGUACACACCGCCCGUCGCUACUACCGAUUGAACGGUUUAGUGAGGGCCUCGGAUUGGUCUCGGCCCGCUCUUUACCGGGCGGCGCCGUUGGUCGAGAAGACGCUCGAACUUGAUCGUUUAGAGGAAGUAAAAGUCGUAACA